UACGUAGGGUGCAAGCGUUAUCCGGAUUUAUUGGGCGUAAAGAGCUCGUAGGCGGCUUGUUGCGUCGUCCGUGAAAACCCGUGGCUCAACUGCGGGCUUGCGGACGAUACGGGCAGGCUGGAGUUCGGUAGGGGAGACUGGAAUUCCUGGUGUAGCGGUGAAAUGACGCAGAUAUCAGGAGGAACACCGGUGGCGAAGGCGGGUCUCUGGGCAGUAACUGACGCUGAGGAGCGAAAGCGUGGGGAGCGAACAGG
rnacentral:rRNA from 1 species